rnacentral:rRNA from 1 species
GCAAGAUUAAAACUCAAAGGAAUAGACGGGGACCCGCACAAGCGGUGGAGCAUGUGGUUUAAUUCGACGAUACGCGAAGAACCUUACCUGGCCUUGACAUAGACAGAAUUUUCCAGAGACGGAAAAGUGCUAGUUUACUAGAACUGUCAUACAGGUGCUGCACGGCUGUCGUCAGCUCGUGUCGUGAGAUGUUGGGUUAAGUCCCGCAACGAGCGCAACCCUCGUGUUUAGUUACUAACAGUUCGGCUGAGGACUCUAAACAGACUGCCUGGGUAACCAGGAGGAAGGUGAGGACGACGUCAAGUCAUCAUGGCCCUUACGGCCAGGGCUACACACGUGCUACAAUGGGGUAUACAAAGAGCUGCAAUACGGUGACGUGGAGCAAAUCUCAUAAAAUAUCUCCCAGUUCGGAUUGAAGUCUGCAACUCGACUUCAUGAAGUUGGAAUCGCUAGUAAUCGUAGAUCAGCAAUGCUACGGUGAAUACGUUCCCGGGUCUUGUACUCACCGCCCGUCACACCAUGGGAAUUGAAUUCAUUCGAAGCGGGGAUGCUAAAAUAGCUACCUUCCACAGUGGAUUUAGUAACUAGGGUGAAGUCGUAACAAGGUA